CCUACGGGAGGCAGCAGUGAGGAAUAUUGGUCAAUGGACGAGAGUCUGAACCAGCCAAGUAGCGUGAAGGAUGACUGCCCUAUGGGUUGUAAACUUCUUUUAUAUGGGAAUAAAAUGUUCCACGUGUGGGAUUUUGUAUGUACCAUAUGAAUAAGGAUCGGCUAACUCCGUGCCAGCAGCCGCGGUAAUACGGAGGAUCCGAGCGUUAUCCGGAUUUAUUGGGUUUAAAGGGAGCGUAGGUGGAUUGUUAAGUCAGUUGUGAAAGUUUGCGGCUCAACCGUAAAAUUGCAGUUGAAACUGGCAGUCUUGAGGACAGUAGAGGUGGGCGGAAGUCGUGGUGUAGCGGUGAAAUGCUUAGAUAGCACGAAGAACUCCGAUUGCGAAGGCAGUUCACUGGACUGCAACUGACACUGAGGCUCGAAAGUGUGGGUAUCAAACAGGAUUAGAUACCCCGGUAGUC
rnacentral:rRNA from 1 species